AGGACGAACGCUGGCGGCGUGCUUAACACAUGCAAGUCGAGCGACGCUCCUCCUUCGGGAGGAUGACGGAGCGGCGAACGGGUGAGUAACACGUGGGCAACCUGCCCUUAGCUCUGGGAUAAGCCCGGGAAACCGGGUCUAAUACCGGAUACGAGACCGAGAGGCAUCUCUUGGUCUGGAAAGUUUUUCGGCUAGGGAUGGGCCCGCGGCCUAUCAGCUUGUUGGUGGGGUAAUGGCCUACCAAGGCGACGACGGGUAGCCGGCCUGAGAGGGCGACCGGCCACACUGGGACUGAGACACGGCCCAGACUCCUACGGGAGGCAGCAGUGGGGAAUAUUGCACAAUGGGCGAAAGCCUGAUGCAGCGACGCCGCGUGAGGGAUGACUGCCUUCGGGUUGUAAACCUCUUUCAGCAGGGACGAAGCGAAAGUGACGGUACCUGCAGAAGAAGCACGGCCAACUACGCGCCAGCAGCCGCGGUAA
rnacentral:rRNA from 1 species